AUUGAACGCUGGCGGCAGGCCUAACACAUGCAAGUCGAGCGGCAGCGGAAAGUAGCUUGCUACUUUGCCGGCGAGCGGCGGACGGGUGAGUAAUGUCUGGGAAACUGCCUGAUGGAGGGGGAUAACUACUGGAAACGGUAGCUAAUACCGCAUAACGUCGCAAGACCAAAGAGGGGGACCUUCGGGCCUCUUGCCAUCAGAUGUGCCCAGGUGGGAUUAGCUAGUAGGUGGGGUAACGGCUCACCUAGGCGACGAUCCCUAGCUGGUCUGAGAGGAUGACCAGCCACACUGGAACUGAGACACGGUCCAGACUCCUACGGGAGGCAGCAGUGGGGAAUAUUGCACAAUGGGCGCAAGCCUGAUGCAGCCAUGCCGCGUGUAUGAAGAAGGCCUUCGGGUUGUAAAGUACUUUCAGCGGGGAGGAAGGUGUUGAGGUUAAUAACCUCAGCAAUUGACGUUACCCGCAGAAGAAGCACCGGCUAACUCCGUGCCAGCAGCCGCGGUAAUACGGAGGGUGCAAGCGUUAAUCGGAAUUACUGGGCGUAAAGCGCACGCAGGCGGUCUGUCAAGUCGGAUGUGAAAUCCCCGGGCUCAACCUGGGAACUGCAUUCGAAACUGGCAGGCUAGAGUCUUGUAGAGGGGGGUAGAAUUCCAGGUGUAGCGGUGAAAUGCGUAGAGAUCUGGAGGAAUACCGGUGGCGAAGGCGGCCCCCUGGACAAAGACUGACGCUCAGGUGCGAAAGCGUGGGGAGCAAACAGG
rnacentral:rRNA from 1 species